GUUUAAGUAGUUUAAAAAAAACUUUGGUCUUGUAAACCAAGAACGAGAAUAAGUCUCCUAAAACU
rnacentral:tRNA from 1 species